GCCAGACUCCUACGGGAGGCAGCAGUGGGGGAUAUUGCACAAUGGGGGAAACCCUGAUGCAGCGACGCCGCGUGAGUGAAGAAGUAUUUCGGUAUGUAAAGCUCUAUCAGCAGGGAAGAAAAAAGACGGUACCUGACUAAGAAGCCCCGGCUAACUACGUGCCAGCAGCCGCGGUAAUACGUAGGGGGCAAGCGUUAUCCGGAUUUACUGGGUGUAAAGGGGGCGCAGACGGCAGCGCAAGCCAGGAGUGAAAGCCCGGGGCCCAACCCCGGGACUGCUCUUGGAACUGCGCGGCUGGAGUGCAGGAGGGGCAGGCGGAAUUCCUGGUGUAGCGGUGAAAUGCGUAGAUAUCAGGAGGAACACCGGUGGCGAAGGCGGCCUGCUGGACUGCGACUGACGUUGAGGCCCGAAAGCGUGGGGAGCAAACAGGAUUAGAUACCCUCGUA
rnacentral:rRNA from 1 species